CAACGUUGUAAUUGCUUGUUGUCUUCACGCUUCCAGCUUAUAAGACGGAUUAUUUUCGUUACCCUCUUGCGUGAAGUCACAUGGUUCUACGGAAGUCUGUAUCGGUGCGUACCAAUUGCUUCCCAAAAUGUACGAAUAGCCUCUCCUAUCCUUAUCGUAAAUAAAACGGUUAACAUACACUAGUCGCCUCCGACGAUUCGGUAGUUCAUAAUUAUAUACCAAUCGCCUCCCAAAAAUGUUCGUACUAUCCGACGAUCGGUUAUCAAUAAGUAACGGCCAAUAAAAUAUUACUUCGUGAUUUAAAACAAUUCGUAUAUUUACGCAUGCCGUUUGAACAUGUUUGACUCGUUUGCGAACCGCUUAUACAUUCAUUACCCGCCACCUAUUGGGAGGCGCCUGGUAGUAGACCCUUUUCGUUUACGGUAAAGCGUAGGGCACGCCGGGAGGCGACUCGUACAUAGCCGAGAGGCGAUUCGCAUUGAAACUAUCGACUUUUUUGACCCCCGUGAGGCGACUAGCAUGCGCCCGUCUAUAUCGUAUUCAGUCAACAAAAUCCCAUUAACGUUUAAAUGAUAAUGCUUUUUAUGAUAAUAAUUUUCGAUCUAAACGUCUCGUAGAUACGACGAAACCCGAUUAUAUCAGUCGUUUUUCAACACACGCGUAGCGUAGCUAUGAUAAAAUAAAAAAUUGCCCAUAUUAAUCUAAUCGAGGGGGUUUUUUGUUUUGUUUUGUUUUGUUUUAACCUUGUUAAUUAGACGUUUGUAUUGGCACUAGACCGUCG